rnacentral:tRNA from 1 species
UCCCAGUUAGUACAAUGGUUAGUAUAGGGCACUCUCAGUUUGCGAAAAGUUAUACCAAGUCAUCUGAUUGUUCUGCUCAGAUCAGGGUUCGAUUCCCCGGCCGGGAA